rnacentral:rRNA from 1 species
UACGAAGGGGGCUAGCGUUGUUCGGAAUUACUGGGCGUAAAGCGCGCGCAGGCGGUCUUCCAAGUCAGUGGUGAAAGCCCGGAGCUCAACUCCGGAACUGCCAUUGAAACUGUUAGGCUUGAGGAUGAGAGAGGUGAGUGGAAUUCCCAGUGUAGAGGUGAAAUUCGUAGAUAUUGGGAAGAACACCGGUGGCGAAGGCGGCUCACUGGCUCAUUACUGACGCUCAGGCGCGAUAGCGUGGGGAUCAAACAGG